rnacentral:lncRNA from 1 species
UAGGUUUGCUCAAGACAAAUUUUCUUAUUUUUGUAUAAUUUGUAGUGUAAUAGGAUGAACGUAUACUGUGUAUUCAUAUAUUCAGUACCAACCAAUGGAUUGAGUUAGAAUUCUAUUUUGUUGGAUACAUGUUUUUGACGAAUUAUAUGUAUUCUAUAGAAAAUUUAUAUUUCAUGGAAUGCCAAAGUUUAGUGGUAUAUAACCCACUAAAUCCAUGAAAAUUACUAGGCAUGAAUAUAAAUAGUAUAAAUACUUAUUAUGAAUCAAGAGUAGUUUAGAAAUUGCUUGAAAGUAUUUCAAGCUUUGUGCCAAAAAGAGAUCUAGUCAGAAAUUUUGUCUCGUGUGGAAUCAAAGUUAAGGAUAAUGUAUCCUUGUGUUAAUUCAAUGCUUAGAAAACAUAUGGGAAUUUUAUAGAAAAUCCACAGCCUUUCCCCUUGUACUCUCAUAUUUGGCAAUUUGAUGACUGAUGGAUAUAGGAUUAUUGCAUGCAGUGCUUGCAUUGAUUUCCUUAAAACAAGUUUAUUAAUGUCAUUAUUGGUUCAAACAAAUAUAAAUAUGGACCAAAUCAAGUACAUCUUUUAGGGUGCGCUCGACUUUAGUGACUCAUCACAAGUUGUUUCGAAAUUACAGGUUGCUUAGAACUUUUUGUAAAAAAUAAACGCUAGCACAUCCUAGAAAAGCAAGUGAGUAAUCUAUGAUUCAAAUUUUAUAACAAAAAUCUCUGUAUUAAAGGCUGUGCAUUUUCUAUAAAAAUCUUGGUUUAUUUGCAACAGUCUUUUUCAAUUUUAAAAAUGCAAUAAUAAUGCUUUGCAUCAAGUUUUCUCUUGGUAUAUGUACAAAAUAGCCUAUCUUUAUUAUUCAUUAUAUCUGUAGUUUUGAUACUAUUGAAGUUUAAAAGUUCGUAUAAAAAUGGCUACAGAAGGGGUCAUAAACCUUAAAUAAAGAGAUAGUUUUAAGGUCCUGUAAACUUGGAAAUGAUUCUGAUGAAUAUUUAUUAUUGUGAAAAAUGCGACAGGGUUAUAAUCGCAAAAGUUAAAUCUCACAUUUUUUUACAUGAAUCAACCUAGAUUUUUCUGAAUAUCGCAAAAAUUAAAAUUGCAUAAUAGUCUUAAAUGACAAAACUGCAAUAAUUUCUGAAUUUACAGAAAUAAGAUGUGGUGUGAUUGACAAUAAGACAACUCUUCACUAGAUAUUUAGUAUGCUAAGGACUUAUGCAUUGAAAUGUAUGCAGUACAUGAGAUUAAAAUCAUCCCUAUAACUUCAGUCAUGCUCUAUUUACUUUUUAAUUACAGUAUUGUGUUCAUUAGAUUGUUUAAAUUAAGUAUCAAAAUGGAAGUCCAAUAUUGUUGUAAUGUUCCUGAGAGCGACAGUCCUUAAAAUUAUUAUCGAGAUUGUAGUCAUAAGCUUUGCAUGACAUAAGAUGUGUAGUAAUAAACUGAUAUACAAGUACAGUGUAACCUGCCUCAUCCAACACCUAAGUAUUCCAACAUCCUGAUUUAACCAACACAUUUUCAUGGUCCUAGAAUAUGGCUAUCCUUGGGGAAAAAAAUACUGAGUAUUCUGACACCCUGCUUAAUGAAAACUGGUCCCCCAGUGUGUCGGAUAACACAGGUUACACUGUACCUAGGAACAUUUUUAUUUAGUUUAGUAUUUUGUACAAGCUUUAAGUCUGUUAAGAAUUUAAGUCAGCUGGUAUCUGAGUAAUUUUUUCCAUGACAUGAAAUCAAUAGGGAAUAAAAAUUAUUGAAUAUUUGUUUAUAUAUGUGUUAUUGUAUAUUGAGAAAUUUAUGAACACAUGUGAAUGCAUGUUAAUCGUUAAAUAGUUGUAAACACCUGUGUUACGAUAUGUGUGUGGAUGCACUCAGAAAAAUUCUGAAUAUAACCAAGAAUACUUUGAAAAUGGAAACGACUUAUCUGAUGGACACAUGGGCAUAAGUAAGGUUUGCAUGGAGUGGAAACAGUCUGUCAUACUACAAAGUUGUCUCCCUUUGAUAAAAAUUCUAAAUUAGAAAUAUUAUACUAUUUUAUCAACAUUUGCAUUGAUUAUUUUCUGAUAUUAUAUCUUAUGAAAGAUAAACAAGCCUAUAGUAUGUAUUUUUAUUUAUUCCACUUAAAAAGAAAUUUCCUUUCCUUUUUACUAGAUGUCUUGGAUUUUUGUCGAGCCUGCAACUUUUGUUGCAGAAAGCUCGACAUAGGGAUAGUGAUCCGGCGGCGGCGGCGGUGUUAGCUUACUUCUUAAAAGCUUUAUAUUUUAGAAGGUGGAAGACCUGGAUGCUUCAUACUUUGUAUAUAGAUGCCUCAUGUUACGAAGUUUCCGUCAGUCACAUGUCCAAUGUCCUUGACCUCAUUUUCAUGGUUCAGUGACCACUUGAAAAAAAAGUUCAGAUUUUUUGUAAUGUUGAAUUCUCUCUUAUUAUAAGUAAUAGGAUAACUAUAUUUGAUAUGUGCGUACCUUGCAAGGUCCUCAUGACUGUCAGACAGUUUUCACUUGACCUCGACCUCAUUUCAUGGAUCAGUGAACAAGGUUAAGUUUUGGUGGUCAAGUUCGUAUCUCAGAUACUAUAAGCAAUAGGGCUUGUAUAUUCAGUGUAUGGAAGGACUGUAAGGUGUACAUGUCCAACUGGCAGG